rnacentral:rRNA from 1 species
CAGUAGCCGCGGGAAUACAGAGGGUGCGAGCGUUAAUCGGAUUUACUGGGCGUAAAGCGUGCGUAGGCGGCUAAUUGAGUCGGAUGUGAAAUCCCCGAGCUUAACUUGGGAAUUGCAUUCGAUACUGGUUAGCUAGAGUGUGGGAGAGGAUGGUAGAAUUCCAGGUGUAGCGGUGAAAUGCGUAGAGAUCUGGAGGAAUACCGAUGGCGAAGGCAGCCAUCUGGCCUAACACUGACGCUGAGGUACGAAAGCAUGGGGAGCAAACAGGAUUAGAUACCCCAGUAGUCCCUGUCUCUUAUAA